CUAAGUCACCGUCCCCCAUCCCCCACGGUCCCCUGUGAGAACCAGUCAGUGUGUUGAGCAUCAGCUGAGGCUUCCAGAUUCCAUGGGGAAUGACCCCCAUUGUGUGUGCUGAGGACCAGGCAGCCUCUGGCUAACUUCUUGCUUCUCGGUGUCCUGGGAACCGGUGCUGUUUGCUCCUGUCUGGAGCCUCUGUGGCUGAGCAGAGCACAUGCUGCCCUGGCCAGUGUUUCCAUAGCUGCCUCCAGGCUCCAGGCCCCAGGCUCCAGGCUGCUGCAGACUGUGAAUGAGGCCUCUCCUCUGCCCUCUGUGCUCUGUGCCAUCUCCAUGACUAAGCUUCCUGCCGUGCUCCUUCAGAUGGCAGGCCUCUGGGGCAAAUGUGGAUCCUCCAGUCUCCCAACAAGUUCUUCCAUGAGGCCCCUGAUCCUAAAGUCAAAGAUUCCAGCUGAAUCCAUGUGUGUACAAGUGCAUGUGACCAAUACAACCGGAGCCCCCAACCAGCCCAGAGAUGACAGAGGUGGAAGAGCAGCAGUAUGGGAGCCGUGGUAAGGGCAGCUGCUUCCAAGGUAUGUAACUGAUGGAAGUUUCCACAGGGCUCAGAAAAAAUGGCGAAGGUGAGCAGGCUGGCACAUCUGAGAAUCACAGCAGAAGGCGAGGCAGGAAGAUUACACGUCUGAGGCCAGUGUGAAUCAUAGAGCUAGACUCCAUCAGAGAGGAACGCUUACAGGGAGGAGUUUACAGGAGGAAGGAAGAGGAGGAGGCAGGCAGGAAAAGAAGGAAGAAGUGGGAGGAAGGAGAUGAGGAAGAACAGAGGGAGAAAGAAGACAGAAGAAAAGAAGGGGUCAGAAAGCAAGGAAGAGCAGAGGAGGAGGUGGAGGAACAGAGGAGGAGGGAGAGGAGGAGGGAGAGGAGGAGGGAGAGGAGGAGGAACAGAGGAGGAGGGAGAGGAGGAGGGAGAGGAGGAGGGAGAGCAGGAGUGGUGGGAUAUUCCCUAAGGUCGUGUGGCCACAGUUAAGAGCUGGUUUCUGCCUAAACCACUGAUUGUGCAACACCAGAAGUGUGCGAUAUGUCCCUUAGUCAUCUCUGUCCCUGGUGAUGACAGACGGCACCAUGCCCUUGGCCACAAAGGCCUCCUCUCAAAGCCGUGAGGAGGUGGCUGGGUGGUUGUGCCUCCUUCCUUAUUCUUGCUCACCAUGACCACUUUUAAGACCACCAUGGCUGUGUCUGAAAGAGUUCUUAGGCUAAAUGUCAGAAGUUGACACAGUCUCUGCAGAUGUGAAGUUCCCGAUCACGAAAGGGGACAACAGGCAGACACAGAACUGCUCCUCCCCACCUUAUCUCUGUCACCAGUGUUCACAGAAUAUCAUCACCACACAUGCUUGCUAUGGACAGUUCAUUUGAGGUCAAGGUCAGAGAGGGGACAUAGUAACCAAAUAGUCACUCACACAAAUGCAGAGGAAAUGAAGGCCAAUGUGACGCUCUAAAGACAGAAGGCCACAUGCUUUGUCACUUCCAAUCUCCCUCAUUUCCUCUCCACACACAAUAAGAC
rnacentral:lncRNA from 1 species